rnacentral:rRNA from 1 species
ACUCGAGUGGCGAACGGGUGAGUAACACGUGGGUGAUCUGCCCUGCACUUCGGGAUAAGCUUGGGAAACUGGGUCUAAUACCGGAUAGGAGCCAUCUUUAGUGUGGUGGUUGGAAAGUUUUUUCGGUGUAGGAUGAGCUCGCGGCCUAUCAGCUUGUUGGUGGGGUAAUGGCCUACCAAGGCGGCGACGGGUAGCCGGCCUGAGAGGGUGUACGGCCACAUUGGGACUGAGAUACGGCCCAGACUCCUACGGGAGGCAGCAGUGGGGAAUAUCGCACAAUGGGCGCAAGCCUGAUGCAGCGACGCCGCGUGGGGGAUGAAGGCCUUCGGGUUGUAAACUCCUUUCGCUAGGGACGAAGCUUUGUGUGACGGUACCUAGAUAAGAAGCACCGGCUAACUACGUGCCAGCAGCCGCGGUAAUACGUAGGGUGCGAGCGUUGUCCGGAAUUACUGGGCGUAAAGAGCUCGUAGGUGGUUUGUCGCGUCGUCUGUGAAAUUCUGGGGCUUAACUCCGGGCGUGCAGGCGAUACGGGCAUAACUUGAGUGCUGUAGGGGUAACUGGAAUUCCUGGUGUAGCGGUGAAAUGCGCAGAUAUCAGGAGGAACACCGAUGGCGAAGGCAGGUUAC